rnacentral:rRNA from 1 species
UACAGAGGGUGCAAGCGUUUGUUCGGAAUUACUGGGCGUAAAGGGCGCGUAGGCGGAUAGUUUAGUCAGAGGUGAAAGCCCAGGGCUCAACCUUGGAACUGCCUUUGAUACUGGCUAUCUUGAGUUCGGGAGAGGUGAGUGGAAUGCCGAGUGUAGAGGUGAAAUUCGUAGAUAUUCGGCGGAACACCAGUGGCGAAGGCGACUCACUGGCCCGAUACUGACGCUGAGGCGCGAAAGCGUGGGGAGCAACAGG